rnacentral:lncRNA from 1 species
CUCAGCGUUUCAAGCACCUGGGACCACAGGUAGGAGGAUCACUUGAGGCCAGGAUGAAGAAAGCCUACUUAAUAUAACAAGACCCUGUCUCUACAAAAAAAUAAAAUAAAAUAAAUUAGGCAUGGUGGCAUGUGCCUGUAGUCACAGCUACUGGGAAGGCUGAGGCAGAGGAUGGCUUGAACCCAGGAGUUCAAGGCUGCAGUGAGCCAUAGUCACACCACUGCACUCCAGCCUGAGUGACACAGUGAGAUCCUGUCAACAACAACAACAAUAACAAAACACAAAGAAAAAGACCAGAAACCAGAAAUGCAAUUUGCCAAGCAUAUGAAGAAUAUGUUUUUACUGGUUUUUGAUAACUUAAAAUACUUCUUCAUCUAAAACCAGGCUGAUCUUGAGAAAGAUUUUAAAGGAGAUUAGAAAAUUCACUUUAACAAACCACUAUCAUAUAGUCACAUCAAUCUUUCGUAGAUAUUUUUGCAAACAAUUACCAGAAUUCUUAGAGUUUAUUACAGAUAUUUUGUUCUUGACCUUUGACACUUGCCAUUUAGCAAUUGCAUGGUUUUACUUUUGUGGUUGUAGAGUUUCUGUUUUUCUUUCAUUAGAAUGAUGUAAGUAGAGGAAUAGAAACUGUUAUAUUUGCAAAAAAAGAGCAAAGAUGCUUUGUGACCUUGGGAAUUAUAUUUGAAGGUUACUCACAAGAGAAUACCUUGUUUAGGAAAGAUGGUUAAUUUUUUUCUUGCAAGCAGACUUUUUUACAAAAUUAGUUAAUGGCAAAUGUGUUCUUUGCUGAAUAUUAAUCUAUAGUAUCAUUUAAGAUGUUCUUAAUUUAUGUUUCUGGACUUUGUUUAAAUGUCAAACUCUAGAAAGGGUAAACUAGCUCACCCCACUGCUAGGUAAUAGCUAGUAUUGUCUUCGCUGCAGGGCAUUUUACAGUAAAAUUUUGAAGUAUAUUGAAAAAAGUUACCAGUUCACUUACUAUACAAUAGCUUGGAAUGUGAAUGUCUGAAAGAAGAAAAAUUCAAUAAAUGACUAUGUAGUUAUUUGGUGGAAUUCACAACAUAAUAACAAGAAAAGGUUUUCAGCUUUGAUCAUAAUGGAAAUGAGUCAUUUAAUUUUACCCUCAGUCCUGGUACACAGUUUCAGCACCUGCUAAGAAGUCGGCUUGCAUUUAAAUGACUUAGGCAAUUAUUAAAAGCAAGUUUCAAGAAAUAAAUGGCAUUUAUAUAAAAAGGAGACUGGGCUCAAACUGCUAGUGCUUUAAAUUUCCAUAAAAGCAAAUUCAAGUUCAGAACAGGAUUCAGGAUUUAGUAACAAUUCAAAGGUUUUCAAUCCCUUAAUCUCUUUGUGAUAACUAUAUUCAUCAUGUAGCCAUUUUUAAAAGGAAGAGAAUAAAAAUGUUAACAUUGAUGUCUACCAGCACUUGUGACUGAAAAAUUGAUUAUAUAUGGUAAAUACUUAUGGCUCCAAAUAGCUAUUUGAUUUAUAAUUUUGGUAUUGAAAUGUAAUGAAAUACUUCUAUUGUAUUUGCAAUCGCUGGAAGAGUAGUAUGAAUCAUACUUCAAAUAAAAAUGCUUCUUUUUAUCAUUUUUCCCAAA